rnacentral:rRNA from 1 species
AGUGAACGCUGGCGGCAGGCCUAACACAUGCAAGUCGAGCGGCAGCGGGUCCUUCGGGAUGCCGGCGAGCGGCGGACGGGUGAGGAAUACAUCGGAAUCUGCCCUGUCGUGGGGGAUAACCUAGGGAAACUUAGGCUAAUACCGCAUACGACCUACGGGUGAAAGCGGGGGAUCGCAAGACCUCGCGCGACAGGAUGAGCCGAUGUCCGAUUAGCUAGUUGGCGGGGUAAAGGCCCACCAAGGCGACGAUCGGUAGCUGGUCUGAGAGGAUGAUCAGCCACACUGGAACUGAGACACGGCCCAGACUCCUACGGGAGGCAGCAGUGGGGAAUAUUGGACAAUGGGCGCAAGCCUGAUCCAGCCAUGCCGCGUGGGUGAAGAAGGCCUUCGGGUUGUAAAGCCCUUUUGUCCGGGAAGAAAUCGUCUGGGCUAAUACCCCGGGCGGAUGACGGUACCGGAAGAAUAAGCACCGGCUAACUUCGUG